AAGCACUUUUCAAGUAGUUCAAGGAGCUGCACGAACGCUGUAUUAGAGUUUUAUCAAUGAAACCCUGGUCAAACAAUAAUGAAAGUUGAUGAGAGUUAGAGUUGGCACUUGCAUGCCAGUCACAAAUAGUCACAUCAUGGGACAUUUUAAGUUCUACGUUAACAAAGGGGUUUCUUGAAUCAUGAGUAGUAGUAGUAGUAAAAACUUUAUUUACCCACGCUAACCCUGUCAACCGAAGCUGAUUUACAAAAGCUAAUUACAAAAGAUAAUAUCAGCUAAAUCUAAGUAAAUCUAAGUAAAUCUAUAUAUAUUUACAGGUUUAUAUUUAAGGUUGUUUUAGGUUCUUGUUUUAAUUAAAAAUGUGAGUAGAAAUUUUAUUUUGAAAACAUGAUAAGGAUUUGCACUCCCUAAUUUCGCUUGGAAUAGAAUUCCAUAUGUGAGCACCGUCGUACAUGAAACUAUUUUUCAUAUUAUUAGUUCGAUGUUGUGGCAAACAAAGACCACUGGAAAUAUCCCGAAGUUUGUGACUUGUCACCUCACUUUUAUAGGUAAAAAGAUUUGCGAGUGACUCUGGACCCAUUUUAUUCAAAGUUUAAGUUUAUUCAUGAGUGUUCCAAAGCAAUAGAAUAGCAAACCAAGGUCUCCUAACUGCCGAUACUCAUGCCCUUUCAUUCGGGCUUUAGAUGUAGGAAAACAGUCAGGGACUUCUUAACAAUGUCAAGAAAUGGAAUGGUAUUAUAAUUUAAAAAUGUUACUACUCUUCUUGAUAGCUAAUUCUAUCUUCGUGGUGAAGGAUAUUGCAAUCUUCUGGAGAAAUGCCGUUUGGCCAUUUAUUUGUCUUCCACGUGUAAAAUAAACUCCAGAAGCCUUUAAGAUUUCGGGCUCUCUCUACUGUAAUUUCUCUGAUAUAUUUGCGCU